rnacentral:rRNA from 1 species
AUUGAACGCUGGCGGCAGGCCUAACACAUGCAAGUCGAACGAGUGGCGGACGGGUGAGUAAUGUCUGGGAAACUGCCUGAUGGCGGGGGAUAACUAAUGGAAACGGUAGCUAAUACCGCAUACCAUCAGAGGUGCCCAGAUGGGAUUAGCUUGUUGGUGGGGUAACGGCUCACCAAGGCGACGAUCCCUAGCUGGUCUGCGAGGAUGACCAGCCACACUGGAACUGAGACACGGGCCAGACUCCUACGGGAGGCAGCAGUGGGGAAUAUUGCACAAUGGGGGAAAUCCGGAUGCAGCCAGGCCGCGUGUAUGAAGAAGGCCGUCGGGUUGUAAAGUACUUUCAGCGGGGAUGCGGUACCCGCAGAAGAAGCACCGGCUAACUCCGUGCCAGCAGCCGCGGUAAUAC